UACGUAGGGUGCAAGCGUUGUCCGGAAUUAUUGGGCGUAAAGAGCUCGUAGGCGGUCUGUCGCGUCUGCUGUGAAAACUCAGGGCUUUAACCCUGAGCUUGCAGUGGGUACGGGCAGACUAGAGUGUGGUAGGGGAGACUGGAAUUUCCUGGUGUAGCGGUGAAAUGCGCAGAUAUCAGGAGGAACACCGAUGGCGAAGGCAGGUCUCUGGGCCACUACUGACGCUG
rnacentral:rRNA from 1 species